rnacentral:rRNA from 1 species
AUUGAACGCUGGCGGCCGGCCUAACACAUGCAAGUCGACCGAGUUGCGGACUGGUGAGUCAUGUCUGGGAGACUGCCUGAUGGAGGGGGAUAACUACUGGAAACGGUAGCUAAUACCGCAUACCAUCGGAUGUGCACAGAUGGGAUGAGCUAGUAGGUGGGGUAACGGCUCACCUAGGCGACGAGCCCUAGCUGGUCUGAGAGGAUGACCAGCCACACUGGAACUGAGACACGGGCCAGACGCCUACGGGAGGCAGCAGUGGGGAAUAUUGCACAAUGGGCGCAAGCCUGAUGCAGCCAUGCCGCGUGGAGGAAGAAGGCCUUCGGGUUGUAAAGUACUUUCAGCGGGGAGGCGUUAACCGCAGAAGAAGCACCGGCUAACUCCGUGCCAGCAGCCGCGGUAAUUC